UGCUAUGGCUAUGCCCACAUU
rnacentral:piRNA from 1 species